rnacentral:tRNA from 1 species
UUCCUAGUAGCUCAGCGGUAGAGAAUCUGCCUGUAAUGCAGGAGACGCCGGUUCCAUCCUGGGUUGGGAAG